AUUGAACGCUGGCGGCAGGCCUAACACAUGCAAGUCGGACGGUAGCACAGAGGAGCUUGCUCCUCGGGUGACGAGUGGCGGACGGGUGAGUAAUGUCUGGGGAUCUGCCCGAUAGAGGGGGAUAACCACUGGAAACGGUGGCUAAUACCGCAUAACGUCGCAAGACCAAAGAGGGGGACCUUCGGGCCUCUCACUAUCGGAUGAACCCAGAUGGGAUUAGCUAGUAGGCAGGGUAACGGCCCACCUAGGCGACGAUCCCUAGCUGGUCCGAGAGGAUGACCGGCCACACUGGAACGGAGAAGCGGUCCAGACUCCUACGGGAGGCAGCAGUGGGGAAUAUUGCACAAUGGGCGCAAGCCUGAUGCAGCCAUGCCGCGUGUAUGAAGAAGGCCUUCGGGUUGUAAAGUACUUUCAGCGGGGAGGAAGGCGAUGUGGUUAAUAACCGCAUUGAUUGACGUUACCCGCAGAAGAAGCACCGGCUAACUCCGUGCCAGCCGCCGCCGUAA
rnacentral:rRNA from 1 species